ACCAAGGGGUGAGGCUGAAUGAAAAAAAUGGAAACUCUUAAGAUGUGUUUUCCUGGUUUGUGUUUGUUUUUGUUUGUUACUGUCCCCAUGUCUGCAGGCUUGGAAGACAACUCAUUAUGCCUCUGACAGUUGGAAAGAAUCUGUGAGUAGGACAUAGAAUAGAGAGUCCCUGGCACAUAGUAAACGCUCAGAAACGCUAGUCAGGUACAUGAUGUACCCACUGCUGCCUUAAGCACUGGAACUGGAACUGGGAGAAAGACACGGAAUCUUCUUUCAUGGAGCUUGUGGCUCACAGCGCAGACACCACACAGAGUCUAGAGAGGGCACAGGAACAUCUUCCCGGCAAAGGGCACCAUUCGUCCAGCAUCUGAAAGUUGAAGAGCAGCUGGGCACGGGAUGUUGGUGUGAUCUGCCUGCCUUGUGUGCUGAGAACUGGGAUGCCAAGACAGGGAUUGAACACACCUCCCUUCCUGACUGCAAACCUGGUCAUUUUCUCACUACAACAUUAGAGUAAAUUGCAGAUAGGGUAAGUUGUUAUUUAUUUGCGUACUUCCGUGCUGCCUCCCACUUUAAAGCAGAACAAAGGAGAAGGAGGAGGAGGAAGAGAAGCAAACACAAAAGCAAGGCACAUUGAAAAUCUAUAGCAGCUCACUGAGGAAGAAACUGCUGUAUGGCCAAGAGGUGAGGUUAAAGCUAAGCUCCCAGGGGUGAGGACUGCUCCCCUCUUUCUGUAAAACUGUUUGCUUUUAUUUCUGAACUCCUCACCUGUUUCCCCACUUAGGAAUCUCUAGCUCUGGUGAGGAUUUGCGGAUGCUUUUCUUGGAAUGUGCCCCUUCCCUUACUCAGAAAUGGCUCAGAUGAUAGGACAAGGGUAUGAUAGGGACCAGAGGUAGUCCUGGGGUCCAUCCCUGGAUGGGACCAGCACGCAGCC
rnacentral:lncRNA from 1 species